rnacentral:piRNA from 1 species
UGCCAAAUCUAUCCGACCCAA